rnacentral:lncRNA from 1 species
AAUAUGCUACACACUCUGUUUAUUUUUUGGAAAUGUACUAAGCAAAAAAUAUAAAGCAAUUAAGGCUCGAACUUAGAAUCAAGAAAAGUGUGGAAAAAAUUUCCCAAUGACACUUUGUUGAGGAGCUUUGAUCCAUUGCUAUGUGUCAGUUUUAUAUCUAUCCAAGAAGAAAAAAACAAAAAACUUUGGUGGGGAGCUCCUCUCGUUGAGUAGCUCCCGAUCUGCUAUUAUGUAUCAAUUUUAUCUCUAUCUAAAAAUUAUAAUCCUUUCCUCUAAGAUUUAAAAAAUUAUUUUUAAGUUUUAGUAUAUAAAAAAGGGUAAACUUGAAAUACCACUCAUGUGGUUUCGCACUUUGUUACUUUAGUACGCUGUGGUUUAAAGUGUAUCAAGUUAGUACCAUGUGAUUUCUUUUUUAUCUUUUCAUCAGCUCCUCUAUUAAUAUUUCGUUAAAUUAUAUACAAAAAAUUUCAGAUACCCACCUAGGUUUAUCAAAUAUUUACUUAGUACCCUUUAGUUUUAACCUCGUCACUCAUUUAACAAAGAAAAUUAGUAGCAUAAAUAAUAAAAAAAAAAAAAUAAAAUUAUAGGAUACUAAAUUGAUAUAUUUUAAACUAUAUGGUACUAAAGUGAGAAAGUGCGAAACCACAUGAGUUGUAUUUAAAGUUUUUCCCAUAAAAAAACAUCUAAUGAACCCUUGUUUAGAUAUAAAACUGACGUACGAUAACAGAUCGAAAUAUCUCUAAUGAGACGUCGUUGGAGAGCUCCCCAUUAAAAUUUUGUUGAGAGUAACUACCAUUAAAAAAAA